rnacentral:rRNA from 1 species
GUGCCAGCCGCCGCGGUAAGACGUAGGAUGCAAGCGUUGUCCGGAUUUAUUGGGCGUAAAGAGUUCGUAGGCGGUUUGUUAAGUCUGAUGUUAAAGACUGGGGCUCAACCCUGGGACCGCAUUGGAUACUGGCAGACUCGAGUGCAGUAGAGGCAAGUGGAAUUCCCAGUGUAGCGGUGAAAUGCGUAGAUAUUGGGAAGAACACCGGUGGCGCAAGCGACUUGCUGGGCUGUAACUGACGCUGAGGAACGAAAGCUAGGGUAGCGAAUGGGAUUAGAAACCCCCGUAGUCC